UACGGGGGUGGCGAGCGUUACUCGGAUUUAUUGGGUGUAAAGGGCAGGUAGGUGUCUCUGCAAGUCAGUAGUGAAAUCCUAUGGCUUAACCAUAGAACUGCUAUUGAAACUGCGGGGAUUGAGGCUAGAAGAGGAGAGCGGAAUUCCCGGUGUAAGGGUGAAAUCUGUAGAUAUCGGGAGGAACACCAGUGGCGAAAGCGGCUCUCUGGUCUAGCCCUGACGCUGAACUGCGAAAGCUAGGGGAGCAAACAGG
rnacentral:rRNA from 1 species